rnacentral:rRNA from 1 species
UGGGGAAUAUUGCACAAUGGGGGAAACCCUGAUGCAGCGACGCCGCGUGAAGGAAGAAGUAUCUCGGUAUGUAAACUUCUAUCAGCAGGGAAGAAUUAGGACGGUACCUGACUAAGAAGCCCCGGCUAACUACGUGCCAGCAGCCGCGGUAAUACGUAGGGGGCAAGCGUUAUCCGGAUUUACUGGGUGUAAAGGGAGCGUAGACGGAUGGACAAGUCUGAUGUGAAAGGCUGGGGCUCAACCCCGGGACUGCAUUGGAAACUGCCCGUCUUGAGUGCCGGAGAGGUAAGCGGAAUUCCUAGUGUAGCGGUGAAAUGCGUAGAUAUUAGGAGGAACACCAGUGGCGAAGGCGGCUUACUGGACUGUAACUGACGUUG